CCUUGCGGCCCAACUGGUGGAAAAUACCAAAGCAACGACCGGAGCAGGGCAAGGUCUCCCUGGGCUGCUUCUCAUCCCUAUCCCUUGCAGGUUGUCACCCGUCUCGUUGGGGUCCACUUGUCGAUCGAAUUCUUGCCAUUUCUAUUUUUAUCAAUCGAUGUCAGAUCGUGAAGAUAUGGGAUCGGUCCGAUAUCAGUACGUGAAGAUAUGAGACCGGUCAUGUUGCUCUAAGAUUGCCGGGAGAGCUCUGAUCUAAAUAUGCAGACCCAUGUUAGAUGGGAGGAUCGGAACUGUUUAGGUUUGUGGAAUGCUGCUCAUUUUAAUAUAAUUUUUUUUAAAAAAUAUAUUUGAGACCGACUUUCAACGCAUGUAAUGUUCAGAGAUAAAAUAACGAAACUUCUCAUUUUUUUAUCUAAUCUGGAGGA
rnacentral:lncRNA from 1 species